ACGCCCAACAGCUAGCCCACCAAAACAAUUUCAACAAGCCCCUGUUAAUAACCCCUAAAUACCCCAGUAUUAAAAUUAAACAAACCAUUUUUCCCCCUUAGUAUAGGCGAUAGAAAAG
rnacentral:rRNA from 1 species